rnacentral:rRNA from 1 species
AUUGGACAAUGGAGGCAACUCUGAUCCAGCCAUGCCGCGUGCAGGAAGACUGCCCUAUGGGUUGUAAACUGCUUUUAUACAGGAAGAAACCGCUCUACGUGUAGAGCUCUGACGGUACUGUAAGAAUAAGGAUCGGCUAACUCCGUGCCAGCAGCCGCGGUAAUACGGAGGAUCCAAGCGUUAUCCGGAAUCAUUGGGUUUAAAGGGUCCGUAGGUUGAUAAUUAAGUCAGAGGUGAAAGUUUGCAGCUCAACUGUAAAAUUGCCUUUGAUACUGGUUAUCUUGAGUUAUUAUGAAGUAGUUAGAAUAUGUAGUGUAGCGGUGAAAUGCAUAGAUAUUACAUAGAAUACCAAUUGCGAAGGCAGAUUACUAAUAAUCAACUGACACUGAUGGACGAAAGCGUGGGGAGCGAACAGGA